GAGGGUGUAGCUCAGUGGUAGAGUGCGCGCUUAGCAUGCAUGAGGCCCUGGGUUCAAUCCCCAGUAUCUCCA
rnacentral:tRNA from 1 species